rnacentral:lncRNA from 1 species
ACAUUCUGCUCACCACUCUGUAAUGCCUAUAUGGGAAAAGAAUCUUAAAAAAGUAGUGGAGGUAUACCUGAAACUAACACAACAGUUAAAAUUAAAACAACAACAACAAAAUUACUCCAGAGUCCACCUGUCAGUUUGAAAAGGAUUGACAGUUGUAUCUGAGCAUUGUGUGCUCAGAUAUUGGUUUGACACCAAGGGCACAGACAAUUCUACCCAACCCUUGGUAGCUUGGUGGCAAGACAUCCAAAUACCUGGAGUCUCAGCUUUCUGUUGCCAGCCUGUGUGUUACCCAAGAGUUAGAGCCACGUCUUACCUGCCUUCCUCUGCAGAGCACCCUGGCAGCAAAAAGGGAAAGCUGGCAUCUGUAGUAGCCCUUCUCUUUAGGUGACACAAAAAUGACCUCUUGUUAUCUUUUACUGACUCCACAGCUGCUAUAGUAUUCGGUUAGCCAUGGUUACGAACUGGGUUUUGUGGUGCUGGUGGACUUAGUUAAAUGCCUCUUUGGAAACAAGAGAUUCCUUGUGGACCCAACGCAUACUUGUUGUAGUUGUGUGCUCCUCAGAGUCUUCUUACUGAUUGCUCAGAGGGAUUACAGGGGAGUCAGCAGCUCCGAUGGGGUGUUUAAGAAUGAGAGCAAGUUUCUUCAGUGUUGUCGGCCCCUAUCUCUCCCAUGGCCUGCCCUCGUCUCACCUCUCACCCCUCCAAAUCAAGGCAUGUCUGUGAGUACUUAAUAGAGUUUAUGAAAAUGUAUUUCUUUCUUUU